GGGGGGGAGGGGAGCGGUGGGCCAGGUGGGAGGCAGGCGGACGAAGGAAUGCACGGCUCGCUGCUUCCUCCGGACCCUCAAAGUCUCCCUACGGCCGAACGCUUGGGGUUUAUUUAUUUAUUUUUUUACGAGUUUCGGGACGGAAAAUUAACGAGAGAGCGCCCAGCAGCCCUCUCCUUCCACCUCUUUGCGACUUCCAGGGAAACUACAAGACUUUCCCCGAGAGGAAGGGGAUGUGGGGAGGCUCCCUUCGGAAGCAAAAGGUCUUCCUUGUGUACACCCAGGAAGCCAGGCUUCACCGAUGACAAAGGGAAGACCCCGCUUGCUCCCUUUGUUCAGCCUCACUCCAUUCCUCAGGAAGUGAUCCCACAGGGCAAGCUUUGCCCUAUUCCAGGUGAGAUGGGCCAUCCUAGUGUGUAAGCUUAAGGUUAUACUUCUGAAUGCUGGGAAAAAGAUAGGACUAAAACUAAUCUCUCACGCUACUGAGUGAAGGAGCUUUGUUUUCAGAUCAGAUCAGUCGCUCAGUCGUGUCCGACUCCUUGCAACCCCAUGAAUCGCAGCAGGCCAGGCCUCCCUGUCCAACACCAACUCCCGGAGUUCACUGAGACUCACGUCUAUCGAGUCAGCG
rnacentral:lncRNA from 1 species